rnacentral:rRNA from 1 species
GAUGAACGCUGGCGGCGUGCCUAAUACAUGCAGGUCGAGCGAACAGACGAGGAGCUUGCUCCUCUGACGUUAGCGGCGGACGUGUGAGUAACACGUGGAUAACCUACCUAUAAGACUGGGAUAACUUCGGGAAACCGGUGCUAAUACCGGAUAAUAUAUUCAACCGCAUGGUUCAAUAGUGAAAGACGGUUUUGCUGUCACUUAUAGAUGGAUCCGCGCCGCAUUAGCUAGUUGGUAAGGUAACGGCUUACCAAGGCGACGAUGCGUAGCCGACCUGAGAGGGUGAUCCGCCACACUGGAACUGAGACACGGUCCAGACUCCUACGGGAGGCAGCAGUAGGGAAUCUUCCGCAAUGGGCGAAAGCCUGACGGAGCAACGCCGCGUGAGUGAUGAAGGUCUUCGGAUCGUAAAACUCUGUUAUUAGGGAAGAACAAAUGUGUAAGUAACUAUGCACGUCUUGACGGUACCUAAUCAGAAAGCAACGGCUAACUACGUG